CUCGUAGUUGGAUGUGUGUCUAACGGCGUCGGUUCACCGCUCGCGGUGUAACUGGCGCGCCAGUUGGACGUCCUGCCGGUGGCGGUCUGGGCUUUCGGCUAUGUGUAGGUUCGCCGAAGCAUGCCGUUAGUUCCAGCCGCCGAUUCAAUCCCGCCGCGGUGCUCUUAACUGAGUGUCGAGGUGGGCCGGCACGUUUACUUUGAACAAAUUAGAGUGCUUAAAGCAGGCUGGUGUCCGCCUGAAUACUGUGUGCAUGGAAUAAUGGAAUAGGACUUCGGUUCUAUUUUGUUGGUUUUAAGAAUCCGAAGUAAUGAUUAAUAGGGACAGGCGGGGGCAUUCGUAUUGCGACGUUAGAGGUGAAAUUCUUGGAUCGUCGCAAGACGUACCUAAGCGAAAGCAUUUGCCAAGUAUGUCCUCGUUAAUCAAGAACGAAAGUUAGAGGUUCGAAGGCGAUCAGAUACCGCCCUAGUUCUAACCAUAAACGAUGCCAGCCAGCGAUCCGCCAAAGUUCCUCCGAUGACUUGGCGGGCAGCUUCCGGGAAACCAAAGCUUUUGGGUUCCGGGGGAAGUAUGGUUGCAAAGCUGAAACUUAAAGGAAUUGACGGAAGGGCACCACCAGGAGUGGAGCCUGCGGCUUAAUUUGACUCAACACGGGAAACCUCACCAGGCCCGGACACCAGAAGGAUUGACAGAUUGAUAGCUCUUUCUUGAUUUGGUGGGUGGUGGUGCAUGGCCGUUCUUAGUUGGUGGAGCGAUUUGUCUGGUUAAUUCCGAUAACGAACGAGACUCUAGCCUACUAACUAGGCGUCUCCGGUAUCCACAAUAGUGCUACCGGCGAAUAAAUUUCUUCUUAGAGGGACAGGCGGCUUCUAGCCGCACGAGACUGAGCAAUAACAGGUCUGUGAUGCCCUUAGAUGUCCUGGGCCGCACGCGCGCUACACUGAAGGAAUCAGCGUGUCUUCCCUGGCCGAAAGGUCCGGGUAACCCGUUGAACCUCCUUCGUGCUAGGGAUUGGGGCUUGCAAUUGUUCCCCAUGAACGAGGAAUUCCCAGUAAGCGUGAGUCAUAAGCUCACGUUGAUUACGUCCCUGCCCUUUGUACACACCGCCCGUCGCUACUACCGAUUGAAUGAUUUAGUGAGGUCUUCGGACUGGUGCGCGGCGAUCGCCUCGUGUGGUCGCCGAUGUUGCCGGGAAGAUGACCAAACUUGAUCAUUUAGAGGAAGUAAAAGUCGUAAC
rnacentral:rRNA from 1 species